ensembl:lncRNA novel transcript, antisense to GYPB
GAGGAUCCCUUGAGGCCAGGAGCUUGAGACCAGCCUGGGCAAUAUAGCAAGACCCCAUAUUUACAAAUUAAAUAACAAAAAAAUUAGUCAGGUGUGGUUGAGCACACCUGAAGUCUCAGCUACUUGAGAGGCAGAAGCUGGAGAAUCACUUGAAUCCAGCAGUUCAAGACUGAAGUAAGCUAUGACUGUGCCGUUGCAGUCCAGCUUAGGCCACAGAGCAAAAUCUUGUCUCUAAAAAAAAUUAAGUUGUAUAAAAUGGAGAGAAUAUAUCAAAGUACAUCACACAGAAUUAGGGAAGGUAUUAUUUUGUGGAAUUUUAUUUCAGACAAGUGUGUGUGUGAGUCUGUGUGCUGUGAUUUGUAGUGCACAUUAACUAUUUGCCUCAAAUAGCUGUACUAUUCAUGUUUUAUGUUUUGUAUUUAUUUCCUUCUAUUUUGGUUUUUAAAAAUAUAAUGAUGACUGGGAAAUAAGUGAUAACAUCAAAAGGAGGCCUCCAGAAUUUAAAAACAUUUUCUAUAGCCCAUAUAAAAAGGAGCAAAAGGCUAACAUAACAGCCACACAGUUAGAGUUCCUUAGCUGCACCACGUGAGGAAGACAGACCGUCAACCUUCAUUAAAGUCUUCAGCUUGGUGAAAGCACAAGCAGAACACUGAGUGACAAUGUUGUAAGAGUAACGGAGCCAAUCCUGGAACAUCACUAGGUAUGGUACAGGCAACAUAACAUAUUCUCCAAGUGCACAGAUUCUGCAGUGGAACUGCCUAGGCUCAAACUAAUUCCUCUAGCAACUACCUGAGACCUUGCAAAAUUUACUUAAUCUCUAUAUUUUUGUUCCAUCAUUAUACAUGGAUUAGUCUCUACCUUAUAGAAUUAUUGAACAGAUUAAGUUAAAAUGCGCAUAAUUUUUUUGCAAGAAUGGAAAACCUAAUCCUAAAAUUUCUGUGAAAUUAUUAGGGAUCUAAAUAGCCAAAACAAUCUUGAAGAAGAACACAGUUUGGUGAAUCAUACUUCAUGAAUGCAAAACUUAUAACCAAGUAACAGCAAUAAAAUC